UUCUCUUCUUCAUCCCAUUAGAUCAAGAGUUAUAAUUUGGUUUGCUAUCAAGUGGAAAAUCAUUCCUCUAAUUUUGGUCUUUGAGAUAAUUCUUGUGAAAGCUAAGGAAGGACUAAGGAGCUUUCAAACAGGAUCAUUAAGGAGGACUUCCGAUAUCCACAUAUGGCUUCAGGUACGCUUCCGCUAAUACAAUUAUAAUUCCAAAUUAUUCAAUACCAAAG
rnacentral:lncRNA from 1 species